CCACUUAGGGAGGAGUACCCCGGAACUGGGGAUAAUACCCCAUAGAUUAGGGAUGCUGGAAUGCUCCUUAGUUCAAAGGUCCGCCGCCACAGGAUGGGUCUGCGGCCGAUUAGGUUGUUGUUGGGGUAACGGCCCAACAAGCCUUUGAUCGGUACGGGUUGUGGGAGCAAGAGCCCGGAGAUGGAUUCUGAGACACGAAUCCAGGCCCUACGGGGCGCAGCAGGCGCGAAAACUUUACAAUGCGAGAAAUCGUGAUAAGGGAACCCCGAGUGCCCGUAAAUUCGGGCUGUCCACCAGUGUAAAUAACUGGUGAAGAAAGGGCCGGGCAAGACCGGUGCCAGCCGCCGCGGUAAUACCGGCGGCUCGAGUGGUGGCCACUAUUACUGGGCUUAAAGCGUCCGUAGCUGGGUUGUUAAGUCUCCUGGGAAAUCCAUCGGCUCAACCGAUGGGCGUUCAGGAGAUACUGGCAACCUAGGGACCGGGAGAGGUGAGAGGUACUCCAGGGGUAGGAGUGAAAUCCUGUAAUCCUUGGGGGACCACCUGUGGCGAAGGCGUCUCACCAGAACGGCUCCGACAGUGAGGGACGAAAGCUGGGGGAGCAAACCGGAUUAGAUACCCGGGUAGUCCCAGCUGUAAACGAUGCGCGUUAGGUGUAUCGGUGACCACGAGUCACCGAGGUGCCGAAGGGAAACCGUGAAACGUGCCGCCUGGGAAGUACGGUCGCAAGGCUGAAACUUAAAGGAAUUGGCGGGGGAGCAC
rnacentral:rRNA from 1 species